CUCUAUUUUAUAGUAACCAUAUUAAGGCUAUAUGAAGGGUGCUUUUCUUCCAUCGCGGGCCUCUUUAUGGUAUAAAAGUGCGGCAAAAUACACACACUUAUCGGCACAUGAUCCCGGGUGCCCUGUUUCGACGGGUCGGGUCAUGGGGUAGGUGGAGGUUUAACC
rnacentral:misc_RNA from 1 species